GUCUCCCCGCGGGCUGGAGGCGGUCGGCGAUUUACACGAGUCGCUGCUCCGGGGUCGCUCCGCACCGCCUCCGGAUCCUGCUCGGCGUUCGGACCGGCGUGUCGUGCCACGCAGCACCUAGGGGUCGGCGGGAUUGAGUUUUACCGAAUCGAACCGCCUGUUCGGUGGGGCGCAGGGAGGCCCGGCGGCGAGCUCCGGCGCCUGCGGCCCCGUGUGCCGGUACAGCCGGGCGCCGACAUCCAGCCCGGUGGUGGGAGACCAGCGUCUCGCCCGGGAGGCCUCCCUGCACGGCAGAAGCGCAGUUCCAGGCACCACUGCUGCCAGGCGCAUCCCUUCACUUCAAUCUACUUUUAAAUGUAAAAUAUUUAAAAAUCAAGUUGAAAUAACAGGAGUGGUAAACAAACGCCAUGCACCAUUGGAAGCUGGAAAGAAGCUUGUUUGAUUGCCAGCAGCUUGACUGUUGCCAAGUUCCCCUUCUUUGGCAAGCAGGGCUGAUCAACCCUCUCACAAAGGCCUAACAAGAUGAUCACAGCAACACUUUGCUAACACAGAAUCAAGUGAGUUGACUGAAAAAAAGUGCAUGUGGUUCAUCUAUUUUCACCCAUAUCUGCUGAGAAACAUACUUAGUAAGUGAAGUAAAAGUUAAGUAAAAAAAGUAAAUGAAACAGAAUGAAAUUAUAUUCAGACCAUUAAAGUCUGAAAUGGAAGCAUUCCAACAUGCGAAUGACAAAUUUGAGAGGAGACAGCAAAUGAGAAAUACUGGGAUAAUGGAAUCAAAGUAUGAGGGCAGGAAAAUGUAUUCCCUGAGAAACACAAACCAGACAACAGCCACCAGAUGAGUGGAGUUGCAGAGAGGAUACUGCUGUGCAACAUAAAUGACAUGUAUGCAGGGAAUCCCAGCUUCUAACUCUUGUCCUUGUCUGUUGCUACUUGAGAAGUGGAAGAAAGACCUGAUCUUACCUUCUGCUGUACCUGCAUGAAUGAUCAGGUCUGUCAAUGUGAACAGUGGUCAGAUAUAUUUUAAGGCAAUUCUGAAGGUCCUGGGAGGCUGCCUGAGCAGGCAACAUAGUUGGUUCUGAGCAUUUCCAUGCUUAUCAC